UUGGGAACUUAGGGUUCCUCAUAUGACGAUCCCAAUUCUUAGAACCUAUCAACUCUCUUUCUCCUUCUCACGAGAAUGCGCCUCCGAGGACCUAACUUCACCGUGAACCACCGUUCCACUUUGAAUCAACGAGUUCUAAACACAAACUCAACCUAAAAUCACGCCCUGAACAUGAAUUCGCAGUCAAUUUCUUAGAAGGAAAUCUCAUAUGUCCGAAUCGGAAAGAGGAGAAGACGAACCCUAACUUCUAACGGUCAAUUAUCCGAACGGAUAUUAAGCAAUUUGAGGCAUAAAUCACAUUGCAGUUCUCAGCAUACACACGAAUUUGUAAAGAAAACAAUCAAAAGGAACCUGAAUCAAAGACUAAUCGCAGAAGAACAGAAGGCCAGAGGGGAGGCUCCUUCGUCAGCUCUCUACGGUGCGAAAUAAACGCAGGAACACGUCGAGUUCUUCAGGUACAGGGCAGCCAUAGUGGAUGUGAAUGAUGGAGUAAGGGCAUGUUUGUAUGGUCCUGAAAAACACAACAUGAAGCUUAGAAGAUAAACUUGCAGGAUGGUAUCAUGAAAGGCAAAGCAAGCUUGGAGAUUAGGAUUAGGAAUUGUCACUUAAUUAAUUCUAGAAGUUUGGUCUUUUUAUGGUGAAUUUUGUAAAGAAUGGGUAAAGGAAAUGAUGUAAUGGAUUUUGAGUUUUGAACACUUGAAAUGAAUGGCAUUUGGAUGAAUUUUGGUGAAACAUAUUUGGUUGUAAUUUGUAAUGAACACUUUGUAAUAAACCAAAUGGAUCUUUUUUCUUGUGUGUA